rnacentral:siRNA from 1 species
CAGCCCUUUGUCGCUUCGAUUCGU